rnacentral:rRNA from 1 species
AAACCAACCGGGAUUGCCUCAGUAACGGCGAGUGAAGCGGCAAAAGCUCAAAUUUGAAAUCUGGCCCUGUGGUCCGAAUUGUAAUUUGAAGAAGCGACUCUGGUACCGGCCCUUGUCUAUGUUCCUUGGAACAGGACGUCACAGAGGGUGAGAAUCCCGUGCGAUGGGGAGUCCGGAGCCAUGUAGAGCGUUUUCGACGAGUCGAGUUGUUUGGGAAUGCAGCUCUAAGUGGGUGGUAAAUUCCAUCUAAAGCUAAAUACAGGCGAGAGACCGAUAGCGAACAAGUACUGUGAAGGAAAGAUGAAAAGAACUUUGAAAAGAGAGUGAAAAAGUACGUGAAAUUGUUGAAAGGGAAGGGCUUGGGAUCAGACUUUGUAUUUCCAUGGCGUUCUUUCGGGAGCGUCCUCUGGGUUUACGGGGCCAGCAUGGGUUCUGCGGGCAAGACAAGGGGGCCAGGAACGUGGCUCUGCUUCGGCGGAGUGUUAUAGCCUGGACUUUCGGUUGCCACGCGGGACUGAGGACUGCGAAUCUAGGAUGCUGGCAUAAU